UGGUGGCUUUGGUUUUGGCUUAUACAUUGGUACAGGAGGAGGCUUGAAGACUGGUGGCUUUGGUUUUGGUUUGUAGAUUGGGACAGGAGGAGGAGGAGACUGGAAAACUGGCAAUUUAGGUGGAGGCUUAUAGACUGGUAUUGGUGGAGGGAGAGGCUUUGGAGGGAAGAACUUUGGUGGGAGUGGAGGAAACUCCUUAGGAGGUAAUGGUGGAAACACCUUAGGUGGUAAUGGAGGAAACACCUUCGGAGGAAAUAGAUAUGGAUGGCCAUGGCCAAAGCUUUUCAAUGGUGGCAAUUUGGGUAAUGGUGAGUGUUUGAAGUGAUGAUGCCAUAAGAAAGCUGAAGUACAGGUUACGGGUGAAAUUUUCAGUUUCCCUACAAGCCCAAAUGUGUGUUUACCAUUGCUUUUGGACUUGAAGAUAAUCUUGGAAGACUCUAGGCCACUGUGGGCAGGACAUGGUGUGGCUAAGGCACUGUGAAGUUGAGCAUAGCAUUCUUCCUUUAGUUUUCCUUCAUUUACCAUAUCAUUAGGAAGGUUCACAAUGAACUUUCCUUCUUCGUCCAACUCGCCAGUUCCUCUUGUUUUGAACUCUCCAUUUUCUGGUUUGCAAUCUAUUGUUACGUGAAGCCCUGAAAGUACCUGGUUGGCCUUAAUGUUGCUCUCUGCACAGUCUGCACAUUCUCCGAUCCCAACUACCUGAAUUGUACUAUUAUUAUCGUCACCAUAGCAGAAAGUUACAGAAAACAAUAAAAAUAGGUCGAAGCACAGAAGUGCUCCUCGAAAGAGGAUGAGAAUCCUCAUUGGGAACCACACCCAAUGGCUCCUCAAAGUAAGAAAAUCAAAAACAC
rnacentral:misc_RNA from 1 species